UACGUAGGGGGCAAGCGUUGUCCGGAAUCAUUGGGCGUAAAGCGCGUGUAGGCGGUUCGAUAAGUCUGCUGUGAAAGUCCAGGGCUCAACCCUGGAAAGCCGGUGGAUACUGUCGGACUAGAGUGCGGAAGAGGCGAGUGGAAUUCCCGGUGUAGCGGUGAAAUGCGCAGAUAUCAGGAGGAACACCAAUAGCGAAGGCAGCUCGCUGGGACGGUACUGACGCUAAGGCGCGAAAGCGUGGGGAGCGAACAGG
rnacentral:rRNA from 1 species